CGGCCAGGUCAUGUUGAAACACUGAUUCUCAUUUGAUCAUAGAAGUUAAACAACAUUGAGCCUAGCCAUUACCUAGAUGGGUGACUGCUUGGGAAUACCAGGUGCCGUAA